GACAGAGGGUGCAAACGUUGCUCGGAAUCACUGGGCGUAAAGGGCGUGUAGGCGGGAAGGAAAGUCAGAUGUGAAAUCCCCAGGCUCAACCUGGGAACUGCAUUUGAAACUCCCUUUCUUGAGUACCGGAGAGGAAAGUGGAAUUCCUGGUGUAGAGGUGAAAUUCGUAGAUAUCAGGAGGAACACCAGUGGCGAAGGCGGUUCUCUGGGCAUUACCUGACGGCUGAGGAGCGAAAGUGUGGGGAGCGAACAGG
rnacentral:rRNA from 1 species